AGAACUUUCCAGAGAUGGAUUGGUGCCUUCGGGAACUCUGAGACAGGUGCUGCAUGGCUGUCGUCAGCUCGUGUUGUGAAAUGUUGGGUUAAGUCCCGCAACGAGCGCAACCCUUAUCCUUUGUUGCCAGCGGUUAGCCGGGAACUCAAAGGAGACUGCCAGUGAUAAACUGGAGGAAGGUGGGGAUGACGUCAAGUCAUCAUGGCCCUUACGAGUAGGGCUACACACGUGCUACAAUGGCGCAUACAAAGAGAAGCGACCUCGCGAGAGCAAGCGGACCUCAUAAAGUGCGUCGUAGUCCGGAUUGGAGUCUGCAACUCGACUCCAUGAAGUCGGAAUCGCUAGUAAUCGUGGAUCAGAAUGCCACGGUGAAUACGUUCCCGGGCCUUGUACACACCGCCCGUCACACCAUGGGAGUGGGUUGCAAAAGAAGUAGGUAGCUUAACCUUCGGGAGGGCGCUUACCACUUUGUGAUUCAUGACUGGGGUGAAGUCGUAACAAGGUAGGCGUAGUGCU
rnacentral:rRNA from 1 species